AGAGUUUGAUCCUGGCUCAGAACGAACGCUGGCGGCGUGGAUAAGACAUGCAAGUCGAACGAGACUUUCCGUUGUAGCAAUACGAUGGAAAGUUUAGUGGCGAACGGGUGCUUAACACGUGGGCAACCUGCCAUGAAGUGGGGGAUAGCUCGCCGAAAGGCGAAUUAAUACCGCAUGUGAUUAGAGAGGACAUCCUUUCGAAAUUAAAGUCGGGGCAACCUGACGCUUUUUGAGAAGCCCGCGGCCUAUCAGCUAGUUGGUGAGGUAACGGCUCACCAAGGCUUUGACGGGUAGCUGGUCUGAGAGGACGACCAGCCACACUGGGACUGAGACACGGCCCAGACACCUACGGGUGGCAGCAGUCGAGAAUUUUUCUCAAUGGGGGAAACCCUGAAGGAGCGACGCCGCGUGGAGGAUGAAGGUCUUCGGAUUGUAAACUCCUGUCAUUGGGGAACAAUGCGUGACGGUUAACUGCCGUCGCGUUGAUAGUACCCGAAGAGGAAGAGACGGCUAACUCUGUGCCAGCAGCCGCGGUAAUACAGAGGUCUCAAGCGUUGUUCGGAUUCAUUGGGCGUAAAGGGUGCGUAGGCGGCGCGGUAAGUCGGGUGUGAAAUCUCGGAGCUUAACUCCGAAACUGCAUUCGAUACUGCCGUGCUCGAGGACUGGAGAGGAGACUGGAAUUUACGGUGUAGCGGUGAAAUGCGUAGAUAUCGUAAGGAAGACCAGUGGCGAAGGCGGGUCUCUGGACAGUUCCUGACGCUGAGGCACGAAGGUCAGGGGAGCAAACGGGAUUAGAUACCCCAGUAGUCC
rnacentral:rRNA from 1 species